rnacentral:rRNA from 1 species
UACAGAGGGGGCAAGCGUUGUUCGGAAUUACUGGGCGUAAAGGGCGCGUAGGCGGCCUUCUAAGUCGAACGUGAAAUCCCCGGGCUCAACCCGGGAACUGCGUCCGAUACUGGCAGGCUUGAAUCCGGGAGAGGGAUGCGGAAUUCCAGGUGUAGCGGUGAAAUGCGUAGAUAUUCGGAAGAACACCAGUGGCGAAGGCGACUCGCUGGACAGACAUUGACGCUGAGGUGCGAAAGCGUGGGGAGCAAACAGG